rnacentral:tRNA from 1 species
GCUCUAAUAGCUCAGGCGGUAAGACCGUUUGUCUGGCAGUCGGAGGGUUGCCGGUUCAAACCCUGCCCUGGGCG